UUCAGUCUCUACAUCAAAUAUUUUAUUGAAUUGGAUUUAAACCUGUUCGCCGUCUGCUGAGCCUGGUGAGGUUCCCACGGAGGACAAUACCGAAACCAUUGGAAGUGAGGAUCCCCAGGUUGCCUCAGCGAUGACAACCUGAGAUCUGACGCCUGGACCCCAUCUCCAAAGCCACGUGCACAUGCUCUGAUGGUCAGUGUGGCAAGCUUAAGGCACACCGCACAUUCUGGACGUCCUCACCAUCCAGGGGCAACAGAGAGGUGCAGGGGAAGGUGUCAGAGUCCAGAGAAGCCCGGGAAGCAGCCUGGGCAUCUUUGGCUUCUAAAUCCACUCAAAAGAAAGAGAAACGGGGAACUGAAGAGAUUGCAAUGCAGAAACAAUUGACCCACGAUUGGAGAAAACUGAUGGGUCCUCCGUGAGGAUGUGGCUUUAAGAAAGGAUGCUCGAGGGGCCGGCCGAGUGGCGCGAUGGUUAAGAACUGGCUUGGGAUG